rnacentral:rRNA from 1 species
GGUAUAGCUAUAAAGAAUUAUAUAAUAAUAACUAUUAUAUAAUAAUCUAUUAAUAAGUAAUAUAAUAAGUUAUAUAACAAUAACUGUUAUAUAAUAUAUACAUAAUAGAAUAAACUACUUUUUAUAAACAUAUACUAAAAAAUAAAUAACUUUAAGAUAUAUAAUUGUUAUUUAUAUAAAUACAAGUAUAAAAAGGGAUUAUUAUGGAAUUUUAGCUGUAUAUUAAAGAGAAAGUAAAAUAAAGAUGAUAUAAUAAGGCUAUUCUAGUAAUAAUAAAUCAUAAUUUAAAUUAACUCUAAGAGAAAUCUUUUAAUAAACGAAGCGAAUUGAAAUAUCUUAGUAGCUUUAGGAAUAUAAAUCAAAAGAGAUUCUACAAAUAGCGUGAGUGAAAGUAGAUAAGUCUAAAAAGUAAAAUGGUUGAUAAACUGUUUGUAUAGGGGAACCUUCCUCAAAGACUAAAUAUAAUAUAUAAGCGAUAGUGGUUGAGUACCAUGAGGGAACAAAGAUAAAUAGUAAUUUUAUAAGCAGUUCGAAGCGUAAGCUAAAGAACGUACCUUUUGCAUAAUGGGUCACCAAGUUAACAUUAGAUGCGAGAAAAUACGUAGAUAAACCGGACGUUAAAAUAACGCCAGAGUGUCUAAAGUUAGACCCGAAGCCAGGUGAUUUUACCAUAGUCAGGAUUAUAAAAGUCCGAACGGGUUGUUGUAGCAAUAACAUCCGAAGAACUGUGGUAGGUGUAGUGAAAGACAACACUGACUUGGAUAGCUGGUUUUCUGCGAAACCUAUAAUAGUAGGAAAUUUAAGUAAAUAUAUCUUAGCAGGUACAGAAAUUAAUCUCAGACAAGGCAAUUUCGUCUUAUUUUGUACAAAUUGGGGGAUCAUAAAGAUUUUAUCAGUGAGUAUGCAGACUCGGAAUGGCAAAGAUAUAACUUGAAUUAUCAGACAUAGUAUGAUAAGGUAGUAUGUCAAAAGGGAAACAGCCCAGAACAAGAAUUAAGGUUCCUAAAUUAUAGUUAAGUGAAAUGAAGAAGGUCUUUAUUCAAGUCGACAAGGAGAUAGGCUUAGAAGCAGCCACAAUUUUAUGAUCUCGUAACAGAGCGCUUGUUAAGUUAUAAAGGCAUCAAUAAUAUAACGGAUCUAAACUAUAUACCGAAAUCUUGUCCAUAAAAUGUUAUAAUAAAUAGGUAGCUGCUUCUUAGGCAUGCCAGUAAUAUAAUAAUUUUAUGGGGUAGCAGAACGUUGAGUUAAAUUAUGACUUUUAUUUUUUAAAUAAAACUAUAAUGAUCGAACUCAAGUGAUAAUGGUGACAUGAGUAACUAAAAGAAAAUUUAUUUUCCGCCUUAAGCUUAUGGCUAGAUUUAAGUAACGGCCUCUAAGUUUAGAUAUAAUCUAAAGAUUUAAACGAUGAGAAAAUCUUUUUUACUAAUGACGACAUUUUAAGUGAAAAAUGUACUGGAAAAAUAGUAAUAUAUUCGUUCAUAGCUGUAGCAUUAGUUACAGCUAGUAAACGGAUGAAAAAUAACCGUACCUAGAUACUGAAACAAGUAAGCAAGUAGAGUAUACGAAGGCGUGAUUGAGCUAACAAUCAUAAAGGAACUCGGCAAAUUGACUACUGUAACUUCGGAAUAAAGAGGGCUCAUUAUUCUUGAUUAAUAUCAAGUAAAGAGGAAGAAGCAUGGAAUAAUGUUGUACGACUGUUUAAUUAAAACACAGCACUUUGCUUAAAGAUAAAAAAAUCUAUGUAUAAAGUGUGAAAUCUGCCCGGUGCCGGCUGGUUAAUGAAGAUAAUUAAAUGAUCUAACAUUUGAUGUUGACAGAACCCCCGGUUAAAGGCGGCCUUAACGUGAGGGUCCUAAGGUAGCGAAAUGCCUUGGCCGUUAAAUGCGGUCUUGCAUGAAUGGUGUAACGAUACAACAGCUGUCUCUAUGAUUGACUCAGUGAAAUUGGAAUAGCUGUGCAGAUACAGCUUACCUCUAGUUAGACGAGAAGACCCUAUGCAGCUUUACUGUUACUAAUUAUAGAAUAUGAUAAACAUCUUUCAGACUAAAAGGGAAUAGAUAAUAUAAACAUGAGAAACCUUUAUUUUUUUUUCAUACGAAUGAGAGGGUUUAAGACUUUGAAAGCAUUAGCUUUUAAUGUUUUAAAUACAACUAGUCUCUGCCUAUUUUAUAUAUAUAUCUUUAUAUAUAAAUAGGUACCCUUAGAUAAGGAACUAUGAUUAGGAGACAGUUUAUGUGGGGCACAGACCCUGUAAAGAGUAAACAGGAGUGUCUAAUAAUUUACAAUAAUUUUGUUUGUAAUUUUGGGUAGUUUAACUAUUCUUAAUCAUAUACAUUUAAUUAUAUAUACGUUGUACUACUGUAUAACUUCCUAUAUAUUUAAAAAAAGGUAGGAUUUUUACUAUAUAGAAAUUAGAGAUAAUUGAAAAGAUUACUUAAUAAUUUUUUCUAGCUAUUAAUUUAAUAAUAGUGGUGAUAAUAUCUAGAAAGCUCAACGGCUAAAUCUUGCCUUACUGUUUGAUUAUCUACAAAUCUUACAGUUGCGUAAGCAGGGCAUAGGAUCACAAGAUGCAAUAAGGAAAGAUCUUGGAUUAUUGGAAAAGCUACGCUAGGGAUGUUUGUCCUUUAAUAUUUUAUGAGUUUUAACAACAAUCAUAAAAUAAUUGAUACAAAUUGGGUAAAUUUCAAGAAUUACUAAGUUUAGUAAAUUUGAAGCGAAGUUUAUUUUAGCAUAAUUAUAAAAUAAAAACGUUCAACGACUAUAAGGUGAGUGUUUAUGCAUAAUACACAAUAAUCCUUUAUUACUACCCAACAUUUUUAUAAUCUAUUAAUAUACUAAUAAAUAAAAGAAAAAAAAAAAGAAUGAAUGAAAAAU